AGUGAGGCCGGCGCCCGCCAGUAACAAACAUGGCUCCCUGAAGCCGCUCAGGCUCAAGAGCAACAUGGAGGUCUGCACUUAAUCGCUCCUCUCCGGGGGCGGCCAUACUGAGGAGGCAUCUCUUCCGUGCAGGCAGGCUGUCCUGGGGACCUCAGAGAUUCUCUCCAGCGGCAGCGGAAACUGGGCAAUGGGUGGAUUCGGGUCCAGAUUCUGGCAGGAGGGAGUUUGGGAUCGAGAUCUGGAAAAAAGCACUAGACUGGAAGAGGACGCGAUAGAAUCGGAGCCGCUGGCGGGGACAAAACCAGAGGCCGUGGAAGGCGCCGGUGGGAGGCAAGGCACGGAUGGACUUUACCUGCGCACGCGUCGCAGCCAUCUCCGCGCACAGUGGUGGCCACCGCGACUGGUGCGGAAGUGUCGGCGCGUGCCCGGCGCUCCGCUGGGACCCGGGUUGCUCGCCCUGAGUCUCAGCUUUCUCAUCUGUACGGUUGGGACAAGUACAGUAACCCUCGCCCGUCAAGACGGGCCAGGGCUGUCGCGAGGGUCCACGCCUUAGUGCAGGCAGCAGUAGGGCUGAUUGGAGCCAUUGUACAGUGUCGGGAACAUACCAGCACACUGAGAAUAGCAUCAUGUCAUAAGGACCCAGAGCAGGUGGACCCUGCUGUGAUGCACAAAGAAAUCAGUGGAGCCUAUUCUUCCAAAUAAGCCUUAAAUAUUACUUAUCUCAACUGAGAUUUUGGUGAAAAUUUAGCUUUAGAGCUUUUAUUGACUUGCCAAUGACCUGAAGUUAAGAUUAUUCUUUUCCACCGAAUGAAGACAAACCACCUUAUAAAAAUUAACCCAGAAGGCUGUAGAGGGAUGAAAUGGGAUUUUGUUGGUGCCAAGACCUGAUUGCUUUGCCAGUUACCCUCACCCCUGGCUCAUGAGGAAAGAGUAUUGAGGAGAUUCUCGAGGAACCACAUGAGUUUUAAUAUUAUAAGCUUCUGCCCUGAAUUGAAAG